rnacentral:rRNA from 1 species
GACGAACGCUGGCGGCGUGCUUAACACAUGCAAGUCGAACGAUGACGACCGAGCUUGCUCGGUCUGAUUAGUGGCGAACGGGUGAGUAACACGUGAGCAACCUGCCCUUCACUCUGGGAUAACCUCGGGAAAUCGGGGCUAAUACCGGAUAUGAGCUCCUGUCGCAUGGCGGGUGUUGGAAAGUUUUUCGGUGAAGGAUGGGCUCGCGGCCUAUCAGUUUGUUGGUGAGGUAGCGGCUCACCAAGGCGAUGACGGGUAGCCGGCCUGAGAGGGCGACCGGCCACACUGGGACUGAGACACGGCCCAGACUCCUACGGGAGGCAGCAGUGGGGAAUAUUGCACAAUGGGCGAAAGCCUGAUGCAGCGACGCCGCGUGAGGGAUGACGGCCUUCGGGUUGUAAACCUCUUUCAGCAGAGAAGAAGCGAAAGUGACGGUACCUGCAGAAGAAGCGCCGGCUAACUACGUG